ensembl:lncRNA
CACAAAAACCAGUGCGAGGACUGACGAGGGUGCCUUCUGCCCACAGUGGGUGUGUGUGUGUCUGCGUUUGUGUGCCAUAUGUGAUUAAAGGGUCCGAGCAGAGGAGGCCAGGAGGCAGACGAGUGAUGCAAUCCGCGGAAGCAAAGGAGAAGACACGAGGGCGGCAGGAAGGAAAGGGAGGAGGAGGAAAGAGAGGAAGGAGGAAUUGUUGCUUCUGGGGAUCCAGCUCUCCAGGAAUGUGCUGACGGUCAUGUCCCACACGGUCGGGGGGAGCGUUGCAUUCUGGGAAACUCUGCGGAGGUGACACCACCUGUUUUGGCGUGCUGCAGAUUGCCGACGGAUGAUAACAUCGCACGUUAUAAAAGGGAUAGACUUUGCUGGAGGCCCGAAUCCACCCUCACGCAGCAGCAGUGGAGAUCUAUUUCGGUACGAGCUACACAAUGUCCACAAGCACCCACACAGGCUCGGUGGGUAAGGUGAUUGCGGUGCAGCAUGUGUUCAUCCCCUUUGAUUACACAUGUCAGCCGGCGAUGACACGUAGAAACACCGAAUCCGUUUCUAUCUUCAUCCUGUGACAACAUCUCAAACCACAAACGCUGAUCUGAGAUGGCUUUAAUAUCUACCAUCGGCACGAACCAGAACAACUUUUUCUGCUGCACAACAAAAACUGAGACCCAGCUAAUCACUAACCACAGAGAUUGCCUCAUAGGUAGCUAAAACAUUUCUACCAGACAAAGAGUCAAACAAAGAGUAAAACGUCGUAAUUUGCACAAAGUAGCUGAGUAUUUCACUAAACUGUGGACUUACUUCAACUGUAAUACUCUCCACUGUAUUGAUAGAUAUGCAAGUACUUUUAAUUCCCACAAAGGCACAGUUACAGAUCUGCAGAUGUCAUGCAUCAUAUGAAGUCAAAUUAAGGUCCAGCUAUAUGAAAACUGUAAUCUACCUUUAGAAUAUGUCACAG